rnacentral:rRNA from 1 species
AUUGAACGCUGGCGGCAUGCCUUACACAUGCAAGUCGAACGUGAAAGCGGGGCAACCCGCAAGUAGAGUGGCGGACGGGUGAGUAAUACAUCGGAACGUGUCCAGUAAUGGGGGAUAACCUAGCGAAAGUUAGGCUAAUACCGCAUACGAUCUGCGGAUGAAAGCGGGGGAUGCGGCACUAAAGGCUUUUGGCGAAGGUGGCCAAAGGUGAGUCAAGAGCUUUUAGUGCNGCACCUCGCGUUAUUGGAGCGGCUGAUGUCUGAUUAGCUAGUUGGUGAGGUAAAGGCUUACCAAGGCGACGAUCAGUAGCUGGUCUGAGAGGACGGCCAGCCACACUGGGACUGAGACACGGCCCAGACUCCUACGGGAGGCAGCAGUGGGGAA